GGUGUAAAGACUAAUAAAUAUCCUUAUGAUCUUAAAAGCUUAUUGAUAUCACGGGUUUACAUUUCCGAUACACAGCUUCUUUAGUUGGUUUGCUGAUGAAAACUACAGGGAUGAAAGCCACGACGAGGUUGUAGAUAUUAUAAAGGAUUUGUGGCAGGAUCCCGUUACAUAUUUCAUCGAUGUAACUACCAUUUAAACGAUAAGCCUUUGUUUCAGUACUGUUAACUCUCCUGUGUUACUUGGUAAAUUUAUUUGAUUGGGCUACGACUUUAGAAUUCUGAUGAGGAAGAGGCUGAUACUGAUGAAGAAGAGGGGGAUGACUACAUCGUGUAUGAGCAUAGUGAAAAUAGUGAGAUAGAGUAGAGGACGAGGACGAGGACGAGGACUACUGUGACAUCGAGAAGGAAGUUUAUGUCUAUACUGACUGCUGCAAGUCUAGUAGAAAAAGAAUAUUAUCGUAUGCUAAAUGUAUUCCUCGUCAUCCUAUAAUGCUCUAUGUAUUAACUAUAAUGCCCAUAUUCUGUUUGUAAUUGCUAUUGUUAUAUAUUCUCGUUCCGUAGUUUAUAUUUUCACGAUUACGGGGAGUGGAGUUAAGUCUUAUUUGAACUAGAGAGAAAAAUCAUUUUCUCACUUGUUCAUGCGGUUGGCAGAUAGAGAUUGGUGAGGAUGAUAAGGAAGACAGCUACAUUGACUCUGUAGAAGAAGAAUACUUUGAAGAAGACUAUUGUUUUGAUUGAUCAGCGAUGCCCUAGACCUAGAGGACAGGACAACAGGGAAUUCUAUGACUAUAGUGACUGCGAUAUGCUAAACGUAUUCCCGUCAUCUAUUAAUGCAAG